ACAAAAUUAGCAACUUGUUUCAUUUGAGCAAUCCUUUUUACAGCUGUGUAUGCCUGCUUAAUUAUCACUCCAUAAGACAAAAUGGCACUCUGUAUUUCUAGCCAUCAAUUCAAACCUACAGAUGUAGCAAAGCUCCAAUAAUACACUAUACAUACACAAUGUUAGGAAUCCCCGCCUCCUCUUUCCCUCGACCUCCCCCAAUCCCCGCCUCCUCCCCUGACCCCCUCAUUCCUUCUGGCCGUCACCGCCUCCUUCUCUCUCUCCUCCGCGAGCAACAAGGCCAAGGCUGAGGAGAGGCCGACGAUGGGGAACAAAAGGAGUGGGGGCAGCUCUCGUUCCCGCCGCAGCGAGCGCGCGCACCUGUCCCCGGCCCUGUGGAGGCGGCCAUACCGGACCAUCGCGUCCUAGAGUCGCGCGUCGAACCAGACCACCGCCGUCGUGCCCCAGCAUCUCAAGCUCCACCAGCGGCUCACGCGCUCGCCCUUGCCACUCUACCGGUGGAGAGCUCCUCCAUGGCAGCAACAACCGGAUCCCGGCUGACCCAGAUCCAAGCGCUUCUAUUUAGUACUCAAAACCUUAUGUUCAUUUAUGUACCUAAGGAGUAGAAAAGCACACCAUACAUACACAAUGUUAGGAAUCAGGACCAGUAGACUUAUGCAGAAAUUGGGAGCUCAGAACAAACUAUAGCAAGAAUAUGGUUUGAAUAGUAGAGCAAGAUAGCUAUAGAGUUUAUUGCACCUGUUGAUCUUCUCAUAGUCCAACUAAGAACUACACUAACUAAUUCUAUGCUACCCCUUUCCCUAAAUAUUGUUAAUACCUACAUCCAGCUCAUAUAACCAAUAUGAAAUUGCUGUGCAGACGACAGUACACACACGACAUGCAGCCAACACUUAUAUCAAAUGGUGGAGCAAUGCUGCUACAUGCAUCAGAUUGUGCGAUUUUCAGCAUCAUUCAAAAAUCGGCUGUGCACUAUCGUGUGUAUAGCAAGGUUCUAACUCAUAUAAUGAUGGAAACCACACUUACUGAAUUAUUUUCAGCAGACACGGUUAUGACUUUGUUCAUGCUAACCCAUGACAAUGUGCUCUGAAAUCAUACAGAACUAACAACUCACCAUCACAAAACAAAUAUUUACUCUUCUUUUAAUAGCAUAACCAGACAAAAACAAAGGAGGACACAAACUUACAUUCACAGCCAACCGAACAUUAGUAUCUGGCUAACGCCUAAUACUAAUAAUAUGAUGGGAUAUUACAUGAUUGGAAAUUAUGACCAACAAGUAUUCACAAAUAAUAUUGAUAUUGUAUUUCACUAUUUCUCAAAAGAAUUAGAAAGAUAAAAUUAAGCAAGCCUGAUUAUAAGUGAGUGUGUGCCAAUGCUUCGUGAGGUUCUGCCUGAGCAUCAACAUGAGAAAUGAGUGUGAGCAAGUACC
rnacentral:lncRNA from 1 species